rnacentral:rRNA from 1 species
CCUACGGGAGGCAGCAGUGAGGAAUAUUGGUCAAUGGGCGGAAGCCUGAACCAGCCAAGUAGCGUGCAGGAUGACGGCCCUACGGGUUGUAAACUGCUUUUAUACGGGAAUAACGCGCCUUCCGUUUAGGGCGUUGCAUGUACCGUAUGAAUAAGAACCGGCUAAUUCCUUGCCAGCAGCCGCGGGAAUACGGAAGGUCCGGGCGUUAUCCGGAUUUAUGGGGUUUAAAGGGAGCGUAGGCCGCAUGUCAAGCUGGCUGUGAAAUGUCCGGGCUCAACCCGGGCCUUGCAGCGCGAACUGGCGUGAUUGAGUCCGCGGAAGGCAGGCGGAAUUCGUCGUGGAGCGGUGAAAUGCUUAGAUAUGACGAAGAACCCCGAUUGCGAAGGCAGCUUGCUGCAGCGGAACUGACGCUGAUGCUCGAAAGCGCGGGUAUCGAACAGGAUUAGAUACCCUGGUAGUC